rnacentral:rRNA from 1 species
CCUGGUGACAAUGGCGGAGAGGUCACACCCGUUCCCAUCCCGAACACGGCAGUUAAGCUCUCCUGCGCCGAUGGUACUGCAGUUUCCUGUGGGAGAGUAGGUCGUUGCCAGGA